UACGGGGGGGGCAAGCGUUGUUCGGAAUUACUGGGCGUAAAGGGCUCGUAGGCGGCCAACUAAGUCAGACGUGAAAUCCCUCGGCUUAACCGGGGAACUGCGUCUGAUACUGGAUGGCUUGAGUUCGGUAGGGGAGACUGGAAUUCCUGGUGUAGCGGUGAAAUGCGCAGAUAUCAGGAGGAACACCGGUGGCGAAGGCGGGUCUCUGGGCCGAAACUGACGCUGAGGAGCGAAAGCGUGGGGAGCGAACAGG
rnacentral:rRNA from 1 species